GGCGAACGCUGGCGGCGUGCCUAACACAUGCAAGUCGAACGGAAAGGCCCUGCUUUUGUGGGGUGCUCGAGUGGCGAACGGGUGAGUAACACGUGAGUAACCUGCCCUUGACUUUGGGAUAACUUCAGGAAACUGGGGCUAAUACCGGAUAGGAGCUCCUGCUGCAUGGUGGGGGUUGGAAAGUUUCGGCGGUUGGGGAUGGACUCGCGGCUUAUCAGCUUGUUGGUGGGGUAGUGGCUUACCAAGGCUUUGACGGGUAGCCGGCCUGAGAGGGUGACCGGCCACAUUGGGACUGAGAUACGGCCCAGACUCCUACGGGAGGCAGCAGUGGGGAAUAUUGCACAAUGGGCGGAAGCCUGAUGCAGCAACGCCGCGUGCGGGAUGACGGCCUUCGGGUUGUAAACCGCUUUCGCCUGUGACGAAGCGUGAGUGACGGUAAUGGGUAAAGAAGCACCGGCUAACUACGUG
rnacentral:rRNA from 1 species